UUUUUAGUAUAAGUAUGUCCCAAGCAAUAUUUGUGACAUAUUUAUACCAAAU
rnacentral:pre_miRNA from 1 species